GUUAACUGUCUCAAUUAUAAAAAUUGAAUUUAACUUUUAAGUGAAAAGGCUUAAAUAUACUGAGGGGACGAUAAGACCCUAUAAAGCUUUACAAUAAAUUAAUUAAAUUAUAAAUUAUAAGUUUAACUUAAUUUAAUUAGUAUUUGUUUCGUUGGGGAGACGAGAAUAUA
rnacentral:rRNA from 1 species